GGCAACAAAUACCACGUUCUUUGGCUCCUUUUUUGUAGCAACUAAAACACAAGGUUUUGUUUGUUUCUUUUUUACUUUAUUUUUUAAAUAUGUACUAAUCCAAAUCAAUUCAAAGCAGUUUAGAUUUUUGAAUUUAAAAUUAAUAACUGUUCUUGCUACAUUAGUUAUUGUUUUUGAAUUUAAAAAUAAUUAAGACAAUGUUAAAAUCCUUCAAAUUGCAAAUAAUUGAAGGAAUACUGUGUAGUUGCUGUCAUCGUUGUUUAGUGACUUUAUGCCUUUUAUUUUAAAACAAACCAUAAUUAAUUAUGAUAAAAGUAGAAUAAACACCAAUUAAACCUUUCAAUUCUGAAUUUUAAAUUUUAAAUUGAGAGUGAUUAAGUUAAUUUAUUUAUCCAUUUGAAUUUAGAUAUAAAUUUUUUAAAACUUACGUUUGACUCAAUCCAACUUUAUAUAUACAUUUCGGCUGGAAAUUUAUUUAAAGGUAAAAACACUUUUUAUCUUUAAAAAGAAAACAUAAAAGAAAAGGAUAACUAAUCUAAACUACCCACAUCUACACCACGUUCCCAUUUUCCCAUUUCCCUUUGCACAAUCAACAGAUAUGGGUAAAUUGGCAUCUUCAUUACUCCUUUUAGUGCAUGUACAAUAGUAACAAAAUCCACGCAACUUUAUUUUCAUUGUUCACACACACUCUUUGUCUGUGUUGCUUUGCUGCUCUUGAUUUUUCGGUAUGUUCUUCUUCUUUCUCAUUCGUUUUUCUGAUUUCUUUUUAUUUUCAUGUCAUUUGAUUUUGGUUCUCUGUUGUUGGGUUUCAAUUUUCUCACUACAAAGAAUCAGGGAAAUGGUCAUCUCGGAUGUUAUUUGUGUUUUUUCUGUUUUUUCAACCACGAAUGUGUUAAUUUGCAGGGGCAGGCAACAAAUUUUAGUUGUCUUAUUUUCAUUUCACACUGUCUUGUGCUGCUAUGUUUGUAGUUUUUUGCUAGAUUUUAUAUGCGUGCUAGAUUCUUAUCUGAUAUGCACAUGCAUAUUUAGAAAUAUAAACUCUAUUGCAUGAAUUUGAAUAACCGUUUUUCGAUAAGCCUUUUGGUUAAUUUAUCUUUCUGUACAAAUUAAUUACUGCAAAAUUAACUCAUAAGUCUUACAGAAAAUCUGAAGAAUCAAAAUCAUAAUCAACGUGCGAAGAUGGCCCGAACUGCAGUUACUAUAUUUACUAAUUUAUCAUUAAGUAUAUUAUGCUUCAAAACAUAACAAAGGACCAACCAAAUUAACCUCUGUUAGAAUAUUGUACUAUUGAAAAAUUAAAAUACUAAGUAUAUUUAAAAUGUAAAAGCUGAUUACAACUUAAAAAAUACAGAAUUUAAGAGAAAAGAUUCAAUACUUAAAAUUCAAAAUUAUUCCAUUGUCUUUCUGUGCUAUGUAGUACUCUAUUAUUUGCUUCAAGCAUGCAACAGGGUUGUGACACUUUUAGUUGUGACUAAUUCUUCAGUGUAGCUUCAAUGCUUUAUGGCAACUUCUUUAGGAACAAUGUGUCUUGCACUUGAAUCCUUUUGAGGACCCAAAACCCAUUGUUAAUUACUCUUAUCUUUAUCUUAUUAAUAGAAGUGAAAAAACAGUGACAUGUACAUAAUUUUGUGGUCAGAAAUAUAAUAUUUUGGAACACAAUACAUGACCGGUGCAGUGAUGUCGUUUUCUUGGAUCAGUGGCAUUCUGACUCUGCAUAUUGCCAUUCUACUAGCUUGAUGAUCACCAUUCUAGCAGCAUUUUUGGCAGUUGAUAAAUAAGAAGAAGCAGCCAGAUUUGCAAGGGAAAUUAACAAAAGUGAAAAAAGUAGAAAGUUGUACACUGUGGAAUUUUAUACAUGUGAUAAUUGGUUAAACUGUGGAUUGACAUUGUUUUUGUGAUCUGAAUAAAAGAAAGUGUGGACAUGGGUUGGUAACAUGAAAAAUAUACUUUUUCUUUUAAGUCUUCUAUGCUUUCACAUAUUUUACUCUGAGGGUUCUCUAGAUUGCUAUUGAUAAUUAAAUAGCUGGCGAAUUGAGGAUCUUUACCUCCACACAAUGUGUUGGUAAUAUCUCAAAAUGGCAAAAAAAACCUCAUCUUUAUUUUUUUGGUAUGGGGUUUCUGAAGGUAGAAAGUACUAUGACCAAAGAAUGCAGUAAUUCCUAUAUGUAGUAAUUCCUAUUGGCUUAAAUAUUUAUUUACAUUGUAGUUAGUUCUUUCCGUUUAUCUUUAGUUAUUGGUAAUUGAUAUGAAUGCAAGACCGGAAUUUAUAAUGAUUUUUCAGUUUAUAGUUUAUGUAUAGUUGGGUAGUCUUAAGGUCUUUCAUGAACAAGCUAAUUGUAGGAGAGAAAAAUAGGACACUUAAUAUUUUAUAUAUAUAUUUUGAGAAAAUGAAAGCUAUAGUCUAACCAUGUUUCUUUGAGUCAAUUCUCUAUAAGUGUAUACAUAUUGCAUACAUGUAAUAGUGAAUUAUUUAGUACUAAAUAUCUUCAAAAAGUCCUUUGAUGACUAUGUGGUUUUUAUUUUAAUUUUGAAAAGUGUUGUUAUUUAAAAUAAUAUAUUAAAAUCACUAUGGCAUGUGAUAAGUGGAUAUAACAACUAAUUUAAUAUGUUCAAACGAGCAAGAUCAUAUUGUGAUACGGUUAUUUGUUUCUAAUAAUAUUCGCGUAACGCACAGUCUAUAUUGAAAUUGAGGAACUGAAAUAAAUUUCUAACCCAAUGUGAUGUGUGAACAUAUCAAUAGAAAGCUGAGUUUUCGUGGCUGUCAAGUAUGUACAAUUAAUUGACAGUAGCCAUUUUUGGGGUCUUAUGUAUUUGUUUGUGUAGUCGAUUUCUUUCAAUAUUUUUUGUUUCUUUGAUCUUUUAGCAAUAAAUUUUUUUAUGCUUUAUUCUAGCUUUGUGGCUAGAAGAUGGGGAUAUUAUUUACUUUCAAAAAUCCCUUCGGAAGUUAGACAAUGAACAAUAUUGUUUUCUAGAGGUUCCUUCAUCCUUUGGAGUACGUUCACAAUAAUUGUCAGGUUUGAAUUGCAUCAUUAUAUUGUUUGAAGAAAUGAUCAGUAAUGAAGCAACAAUUAUAUAUACCAUAGAAAGAUGUUAGUCGGUAAUAAGAUUGAUUAUAUGUGUCUUAAAGCUGUGUUGAUCGGAUGGACAAAAAGAUACCAAAGGUAUACACAUUGCAAAAUUUUGGAAAGUAAAACAUUUAGUCCUUUUAUGUUUUAAAAUCCUUAAGUUAAAUUUUUAUUAUAUAAUUUGGUUAGAUGAGGGCUUGAUUUAGAAUAUAGGUGGCAUUGAUACGUGGAAAAAUUAUAAUCCUGAUGACUUCGAGGACCAGUUAGAUGCAUUAUAUAAUACUCUAAGUCAUUAGUGAUUUUGAAGAAGUGUAUGUGGUUAAGUGUCAAAUUUUUAUUUUAUUUCUAGCAAUUAUCUUUUGUCACGAACAAGAUGUUUUUCACACUGUUUAUAUUUCUGGUGUAAAACAGUUUUUUAUUUCUAUUUUAUAGGUAUAAGUGCUUGAAAAUACAUCAUUCGAAAUCAAGAAUAUUGAACACCCAACUUAUUUCAAAUUGUGUAGAUUCGGAAACCUCAUGAUGAUGGUGCAUUAGGCAAUUAGAAAAUUGAAUUGUGGGCAUCACUAAGAUAUUUAAGAUUUUCUGCAGUAGAUAAAGAAAUUAUAGGCUAUGCACCUCAAAUUUCUCUAAAUAAUUGUCAAGAUUUAAGUAAGGAUUUUGAAGAUUCCAUAUAUAUGAUAUAUACAUAUAUCUCACAAAUGCGAAAUGAAAUAGAUGUAACUAAGGAUUCUGAAGAUUCCAUAGAUAUGAUAUAUACAAAUAUCUCACAAAUGCAAAAUGAAUAUUUGAAAAAUAAACAAGCAUAAUGGAGAACCGAAAUAUAGAAAGGAGUUUUACCAAAUUGUCUAAGAUAUAACUAGAGAAUCAGAACUUUCCAUAUAUGAUGUAUACAAAUAUUUCACAAUGCGAAAUGAAUAUUUGAAAAAUAAACAAGUACGAUGGAGAACCAAAAUAUAUAAUGGAGUUUUACCAAAUCAUUCGUGCAAGGAAUGACAAUGUAUAAUGAAUGUAUACAUUUCAUUUGGCAUUAUUCACUAUCUUAGGAGCAUUGCGCAAAUAGAAGCUUAUUUUGUAUUAUGUUAUUCUGUUUGCUUUGACUUUUCUUUCUUUGGAAUAUUUAUAAGGUUAUUAUAAUUACAUGUAUCUCUUUUCCUUUUUUAUAUAUAUA